CACGUAGGCGGGACCUUAAGUCAGGUGUGAAAGACCGUGGCUCAACCACGGGGUUGCACUUGAAACUGGGGGAUCUUGAGGGCAGGAGAGGAAAGUGGAAUUCCUGGUGUAGCGGUGAAAUGCGUAGAAAUCAGGAGGAACACCGGUGGCGAAGGCGACUUUCUGGACUGACCCUGACGCUGAGGUGCGAAAGCGUGGGUAGCAAACA
rnacentral:rRNA from 1 species